AGCAUAUCAAUAAGCGGAGGAAAAGAAACCAACAGGGAUUGCCUCAGUAACGGCGAGUGAAGCGGCAAGAGCUCAAAUUUGAAAGCUGGCCCCCUCGGGGUCCGCAUUGUAAUUUGCAGAGGAUGCUUCGGGAGCGGCCCCCAUCUAAGUGCUCUGGAACGGGCCGUCAUAGAGGGUGAGAAUCCCGUAUGGGAUGGGGUGUCCGCGACCAUGUGAAGCUCCUUCAACGAGUCGAGUUGUUUGGGAAUGCAGCUCUAAAUGGGUGGUAAAUUUCAUCUAAAGCUAAAUAUUGGCCGGAGACCGAUAGCGCACAAGUAGAGUGAUCGAAAGAUGAAAAGCACUUUGAAAAGAGAGUUAAAAAGCACGUGAAAUUGUUGAAAGGGAAGCGCUUGCGACCAGACUCGCCUGCGGGGUUCAGCCGGCAUUCGUGCCGGUGUACUUCCCCGCGGGCGGGCCAGCGUCGGUUUGGGCGGCCGGUCAAAGGCCCUCGGAAUGUAACGCCCCUCGGGGGCGUCUUAUAGCCGAGGGUGCCAUGCGGCCAGCCCGGACCGAGGAACGCGCUUCGGCUCGGACGCUGGCAUAAUGGUCGUAAGCGACCCGUCUUGAAACACGGACCAAGGAGUCUAACAUCUACGCGAGUGUUCGGGUGUCAAACCCGUGCGCGCAGUGAAAGCGAACGGAGGUGGGAACCCUCACGGGUGCACCAUCGACCGAUCCUGAUGUCUUCGGAUGGAUUUGAGUAAGAGCGUAGCUGUUGGGACCCGAAAGAUGGUGAACUAUGCCUGAAUAGGGCGAAGCCAGAGGAAACUCUGGUGGAGGCUCGCAGCGGUUCUGACGUGCAAAUCGAUCGUCAAAUUUGGGUAUAGGGGCGAAAGACUAAUCGAACCAUCUAGUAGCUGGUUUCUGCCGAAGU
rnacentral:rRNA from 1 species